rnacentral:rRNA from 1 species
UACGAAGGGGGCUAGCGUUGCUCGGAAUCACUGGGCGUAAAGGGUGCGUAGGCGGAUUUCUAAGUCAGGGGUGAAAGCCUGAGGCUCAACCUCAGAACUGCCUUUGAUACUGGAAGUCUUGAGACCGGAAGAGGUAAGUGGAACUGCGAGUGUAGAGGUGAAAUUCGUAGAUAUUCGCAAGAACACCAGUGGCGAAGGCGGCUUACUGGUCCCGGUUCUAGGACGCUGAGGCACGAAAGCGUGGGGAGCAAACAG